rnacentral:rRNA from 1 species
GGUUGAUGCUGGUAGUUUAUCUGCAUGUGCUCACUCUUCUGAUUUAUUUACACCUGUGCACUUCAUUUUUUCAAAGGCUAGGGUAGAACCUGGCUUUGGAACUUAUAAACCCCCUAUAUUGAAGUAAUGGAUGUUUAUCUGCCACAGGCAAAUUUUAAUACAACUUUUAACAACGGAUCUCUUGGCUCUCGCAUCGAUGAAGAACGCAGCGAAAUGCGAUAAGUAAUGUGAAUUGCAGAAUUCAGUGAAUCAUCGAAUCUUUGAACGCACCUUGCGCUCUCUGGUAUUCCGGGGAGCACGCCUGUUCGAGUGUCAUUAAAACUCUCAAAUAAAGAUGGCUUUUNCAGCCAUCUCUGUUUGGAUUUGGGCUUUGCUGCAUUAGUGUGGCUAGUCUUAAAUGUAUUAGCUGAUCCUCAUUGGGGGGUUUUUGGUUCUACUCAGCGUGAUAAUUAUCUAACGUUGAGGACAGUCUCAGAACUGGCCAUAGCUCUCUCUCUGGAUUGCUUCUAAAUUGUCUUGAGGGCAAUUGCUUAAUUUCUGACCUCGAAUCAGGUGGGACUACC